rnacentral:rRNA from 1 species
UUAUUUUUUAUUUAUUAAUAAUUUAUUUUUAUAAAAUUAUUUAUUAAAAAUAUUUAUAUAUUUUUUUGUUUUAGUAUUAUUUAUAGAAAAAAUAAAUUUAAUUAUAGUUUAAUAGUAUUGUAAAAGAAAAUUGAAAUAAAUUGAAAAAUUAAUAUUUUUAAAGAAAAUUUGAUUUGUUGUACCUUGUGUCUCAGGGUUUAUUAAAUAAAAAUUAAUUAUAUUAAUUUUCUCGAUUUUAAAAGAGUUAAUAUAUUAUGAAAGUUAAUGUAGUAAAAUUAUUUUUAAUAAUAUAUUUGAAAUGAAAUGUUAUUCGUUUUUAAAGGUAUCUAGUUUUUUAAGAAAUAAAUUUAAUUUAGAAGUUUUUUAUUAUAUAUUUUAAGUAAUUAAUAUAUUAAUUGAAAAAUUUUAAUAUUUUAUGGGAUAAGCUAUAAAAUAAAUUUUUAAAAAUUAAUAAAUAUGAUAAUAAAUAUAGAUUUAGAAAUAGUUAUUAUUAGUAAAAGUGUUAUAAUUUAUUUAGUUAAAUUAAUUAUUUAUUAAAUUUUAAUUUUAUAUUAAAAUAUUUAUUAUAAUUUUAUAAAUAAAAUAAUAAUGAUAAAAUUAGUAUAUUUUUGUUAGUAAAUAUGAUUAUAUGAUAAGUUUUUAUAAAGAAUUCGGCAAAAGUAAUAUUCGCCUGUUUAACAAAAACAUGUCUUUUUGAAUUAUUUAAAAAGUCUAGCCUGCCCACUGAUUAUUUUAAAUGGCCGCAGUAUAUUAACUGUGCAAAGGUAGCAUAAUCAUUAGUCUUUUAAUUGGAGGCUGGUAUGAAUGGUUGGACGAAAUAUUAACUGUUUCAUUAAAAUUUAUAAUAGAAUUUUAUUUUUUAGUAAAAAAGCUAAAAUUUUAUUAAAAGACGAGAAGACCCUAUAAAUCUUUAUAUAAAUGAAUUAUUAUAUUAUUUAAGAUUUUUUUUAAUAUAAUAAUUCAAUAUAUUUUAUUGGGGUGAUAUUAAAAUUUAAUUAACUUUUAAUAAAAUAAAACAUUAAUUUAUGAAUUAUUGAUCCAUUAUUAUUGAUUAAAAAAAUAAGUUACUUUAGGGAUAACAGCGUAAUUUUUUUGGGGAGUUCUAAUCGAUAAAAAAUAUUGCGACCUCGAUGUUGGAUUAAGAUAUAAUUUUAGGUGUAGCCGCUUAAAUUUUAAGUCUGUUCGACUUUUAAAAUCUUACAUGAUCUGAGUUCAAACCGGCGUAAGCCAGGUUGGUUUCUAUCUUUAAUUAAUUAAAAUAUUAUAGUACGAAAGGACCUUAUAUUUAAUAAAUUAUUAUUUUUAAAAUGAAUAUAAAUAAUAUAA